AACGAACGCUGGCGGCAGGCCUAACACAUGCAAGUCGAGCGAGGACUUCGGUCCUAGCGGCGGACGGGUGAGUAACGCGCGGGAACGUGCCCCUUGGUACGGAAUAGCCCCGGGAAACUGGGAGUAAUACCGUAUGAGCUCUACGGAGGAAAGAUUUAUCGCCAAGGGAUCGGCCCGCGUUGGAUUAGGUAGUUGGUGGGGUAAUGGCCUACCAAGCCGACGAUCCAUAGCUGGUUUGAGAGGAUGAUCAGCCUCACUGGGACUGAGACACGGCCCAGACUACUACGGGAGGCAGCAGUGGGGAAUCUUAGACAAUGGGCGCAAGCCUGAUCUAGCCAUGCCGCGUGAGCGAUGAAGGCCUUAGGGUUGUAAAGCUCUUUCAGCGAGGAAGAUAAUGACUGUACUCGCAGAAGAAGCCCCGGCUAACUCCGUGCCAGCAGCCGCGGUAAGAC
rnacentral:rRNA from 1 species